rnacentral:piRNA from 1 species
GUUUCUUGAAAGUUGGUCUGACUGAUAG